GGGCCCGCACAAGCGGUGGAGCAUGUGGUUUAAUUCGAUGAUACGCGAGGAACCUUACCAGGGCUUAAAUGUAAGUUGCAUAGACCAGAGAUGGUCUUUUCUUCGGACUACUUACAAGGUGCUGCAUGGUUGUCGUCAGCUCGUGCCGUGAGGUGUCAGGUUAAGUCCUAUAACGAGCGCAACCCCUGUCGUUAGUUGCCAGCAAGUUAAGUUGGGCACUCUAGCGAGACUGUCGGUGCAAACCGCGAGGAAGGUGGGGAUGACGUCAAAUCAUCACGGCCCUUACGUCCUGGGCUACACACGUGCUACAAUGGCCGGUACAGAGAGCAGCCACUCCGCGAGGAGGAGCGAAUCUAUAAAACCGGUCUCAGUUCGGAUCGCAGUCUGCAACUCGACUGCGUGAAGCUGGAAUCGCUAGUAAUCG
rnacentral:rRNA from 1 species